AUUGAACGCUGGCGGCAUGCCUUACACAUGCAAGUCGAACGGCAGCACGGGAGCAAUCCUGGUGGCGAGUGGCGAACGGGUGAGUAAUAUAUCGGAACGUGCCCAGUCGUGUGGGAUAACGCAGCGAAAGCUGUGCUAAUACCGCAUACGAUCUACGGAUGAAAGCGGGGGAUCGCAAGACCUCGCGCGAUUGGAGCGGCCGAUAUCAGAUUAGCUAGUUGGUGGGGUAAAGGCCCACCAAGGCGACGAUCUGUAGCUGGUCUGAGAGGACGACCAGCCACACUGGAACUGAGACACGGUCCAGACUCCUACGGGAGGCAGCAGUGGGGAAUUUUGGACAAUGGGCGAAAGCCUGAUCCAGCAAUGCCGCGUGCAGGACGAAGGCCUUCGGGUUGUAAACUGCUUUUGUACGGAACGAAACGGUCUCUUCUAAUAAAGGGGGCUAAUGACGGUACCGUAAGAAUAAGCACCGGCUAACUACGUGCCAGCAGCCGCCGUAA
rnacentral:rRNA from 1 species